rnacentral:lncRNA from 8 species
UGUGGUGUGUAUUGUGGUGUGUGUGGUGUGUAUUGUGUUGUGGUGUGGUGUGUGUGGUGUGUAUUGUGGUGUGGUAUGGUGUGGUGUGGUAUGGUGUGUAUUGUGGUGUGUGUGGUGUGUAUUGUGUUGUGGAAUGUGGUGUGUAUUGUAUUGUGGUGUGGUGUGUGUUGUGGUGUGGUGUGUAUUGUGUGUGUGGUGGUGUGGUGUGUAUUGUGGUGUGGUGUGUAGUGUGGUGUGGUGGUGUGUGUGUUGUGGGGUGUGGUGGUGUGGUGUGUGUGUGGUGUGGUGUGGUGUGUGUGGUGGUGUGUGUGGUGUGGUAUGGUGUGUGUGGUGUGUAUUGUGGUGUGGUGUGGUAUGGUGUGUGUGGUGUGUUGUGUAUUGUGGUGUGGUAUGGUGUGUAUUGUGUGUGGUGUGUGUGGUGUGGUCUAUUGUGGUGUGGUGUGUGUAUUGUGGUGUGUGGUGUGUAUUGUGGUGUGUGUUGUGUGUGUGGUGUGUGGUAUGGUGUGGUGUGUAUUGUGGUGUGGUAUGGUGUGGUGUGGUAUGGUGUGUGUGGUGUGUAUUGUGGUGUGUAUUGUGUUGUGGUGUGUAUUGUGGUGUGUAUUGUGUAUGGUGUGGUGUGUAUUGUGUGUGGUGUGGUGUGUGGUAUGGUGUGUGGUGGUGUGUAUUGUGUGUGGUGUAUUGUGGUGUGUAUUGUGGGUUGUGGUGUGUAUUGUGGUGUGGUGUGGUGUGUGUUAUGGUGUGGUGUGUGUAUUGUGGUGUGGUGUGGUAUGGUAUGUGUGGUGUGGUGUAUUGUGGUGUGUAUUGUGUGUGGUGUGGUUUGGUGUGGUGUGGUGUGUAUUGUGUGUGGUGUGGUGUGUAUUGUGGUAUGGUAUGGUAUGUGUGGUGUGGUGUGGUAAGGUGUGUUGUGGUGUGUAUUGUGUGUGGUGUAUUGUGGUGUGGUAUGGUGUGGUGUGUUGUGGUGUGUAUUGUGGUGUGUUGUGGUGUGUGUUAUGGUGUGGUGUGUGUAUUGUGGUGUGGUAUGGUAUGUGUGGUGUGUAUUGUGUGUGGUGUGGUAUGGUGUGGUGUGUAUUGUGUGUGGUGUGUAUUGUGGUGUGGUAUGGUAUGUGUGGUGUAUUGUGGUGUGGUAUGGUGUGUUGUGUGGUGUGGUAUGGUGUGGUGUGUAUUGUGUGUGGUGUGGUGUGUAUUGUGGUGUGGUAUGGUGUGUUGUGGUGUGUAUUGUGUGUGGUGUAUUGUGGUGUGGUAUGGUGUGGUGUGUUGUGGUGUGUAUUGUGGUGUGUUGUGGUGUGUAUUGUGUGUGGUGUAUUGUGGUGUGGUGUGGUAUGGUGUGUUGUGGUGUGUAUUGUGUGGUGUGUGGUGUGUGGUGUAUUGUGGUGUGGUAUGGUAUGGUGUGGUGUGUUGUGGUGUGGUGUGUAUUGUGUGUGGUGUGGUGUGUAUUGUGGUAUGGUGUGGUGUGUGUAUUGUGUUGUGGUGUGUGUAUUUUGGUGUGGUAUGGUAUGUGUGGUGUGUAUUGUGGUGUGUAUUGUGGUGUGGUAUGGUGUGGUAUUGUGGUGAGGUGUGGUGUUGUGUUGUGG